AGAGUUUGAUCCUGGCUCAGAACGAACGCUGGCGGCAGGCUUAACACAUGCAAGUCGAGCGCCCCGCAAGGGGAGCGGCAGACGGGUGAGUAACGCGUGGGAAUCUACCCAUCUCUACGGAAUAACGCAUGGAAACGUGUGCUAAUACCGUAUACGUCCUUCGGGAGAAAGAUUUAUCGGAGAUGGAUGAGCCCGCGUUGGAUUAGCUAGUUGGUGGGGUAAAGGCCUACCAAGGCGACGAUCCAUAGCUGGUCUGAGAGGAUGAUCAGCCACACUGGGACUGAGACACGGCCCAGACUCCUACGGGAGGCAGCAGUGGGGAAUAUUGGACAAUGGGCGCAAGCCUGAUCCAGCCA
rnacentral:rRNA from 1 species